AGCGAACGCUGGCGGCAGGCCUAACACAUGCAAGUCGAACGAAGUCUUCGGACUUAGUGGCGGACGGGUGAGUAACACGUGGGAACGUACCUUUUGGUUCGGAACAACUCAGGGAAACUUGAGCUAAUACCGGAUGAGCCCUUAGGGGGAAAGAUUUAUCGCCGAAAGAGCGGCCCGCGUUGGAUUAGCUAGUUGGUGAGGUAAAGGCUCACCAAGGCUACGAUCUAUAGCUGGUCUGAGAGGAUGAUCAGCCACACUGGGACUGAGAAACGGCCCAGACUCCUACGGGAGGAAGCAGUGGGGAAUCUUGCGCAAUGGGCGAAAGCCUGACGCAGCCAUGCCGCGUGAAUGAUGAAGGUCUUAGGAUUGUAAAAUUCUUUUACCAGGGACGAUAAUGACGGUACCUGGAGAAAAAGCCCCGGCUAACUUCGUGCCAGCCGCCAGCGUUC
rnacentral:rRNA from 1 species